rnacentral:rRNA from 1 species
GGCGAAAUUGUAGUGCAAGUGAAGAUGCUUGCUACCCGCGAUUGGACGGAAAGACCCCGUAGAGCUUUACUGUAGCUUAGCAUUGAAUCUCGGUAUUGUCUGUACAGGAUAGGUGGGAGACUUGGAAGCUUGGGCGUCAGCCUGAGUGGAGUCAUCCUUGGGAUACCACCCUGACAGUACUGGGGUUCUAACCGGCGGCCAUGAAUCUGGUCACGGGACAUUGUUAGGUGGGCAGUUUGACUGGGGCGGUCGCCUCCUAAAAAGUAACGGAGGCGCCCAAAAGUUCCCUCAGCGCGGUCGGAAAUCGCGCGAAGAGUGCAAAGGCAGAAGGGAGCUUGACUGCGACACAUACAGGUGGAGCAGGGACGAAAGUCGGG